rnacentral:lncRNA from 1 species
AAAUUUCACAUAUUAACAGAUGAGAUUUAAAAAAAUGUAGCGUUACUUAUAAAUAUUACCAUGUACAAAUAGUUUAACAUGUCACAUAUCAUUCUAAAAAAAAAAGUACAGAUAGAUCAAUGCCUUUCUAUGGUAGCCAUCUUAUGGUAGACUAAAAAAAGAAUCCAAAUAAAAAAAAGACCCUAAGAAAGAGUCUAAUCAAAAUACAUGUGAUUAUGUUCAAUACCAAAUGGAGAAGUCGGACUCCUGCUUCUUUCUUAUAACUUACUCAGCUCUUUAAAAAAAAACUUUGUGUACUUGGAUUGGAAAAUAGAUUUGUAGUAUACAUACCAGAAAAAACGGGGCAAAGAUCAAUUGGUCUAGAUUAUAAUGGUUGAGAUCUAAAGUCUAAUAAUACUCCCUCCGCCCGAAAAUACUUGUCAUCAAAAUGGACAAAAAAGAAUGUAUCUAGAACUAAAAUACGUCUAGAUAUGUCUUCUUUUGUCCAUUUUGAUGACAAGUAUUUCUGAACGGAGGGAGUAGUUAUGUAUCAUGUAAUUUUUUGGAAGGUAAAAAAAAAAUUAGUUUUAGUUCUUCGCCUUCUGGGCAAAGGCCGUGACGCAAGACCCUUAGGUUCUUGUCGCUAGUCCUGGCCUUCUCCUUCCUGAGCCAAGCAAAGGAAGCAAGCAAACGAACCGGGCGAUGCAGUGUUGAGCUACACAGGAAGAGCAAGUCAGGGGAGGAAAUCCAAACCAGAUCAAAGCACAAAAUCGGUAAAUAAGCCAUCCAUCUCACUGGUCCUGUCUACAAAAGCAAUUUUCCUCAUGUCCCAGGUUGGCAACCAAUUUGUUCCACAUACCAACACGAACCUCGAGCCAGAGCCUAAGAUACCAAUGUAAGAUCUCUGAAAUAAUUAUAGGAAAUGGACAUUGUAGGUUUUAAAUAAUGCUAAAUUGCACGGUAAAACUCAGGAGCGUGUAUUAUUUCUUCUUGAUAUUCCUCAAAAUUAAAUUCAUCUGUUGAACUAAGAGAUACAAAAUAAGGCAUCAAUUUGAGAAAUCCAAACGAUGAGGAUGAGCCAUCUAGCAUAACGCGUACGCGCACACACACAUAGAGAGAAGAAAAGCAAAGCAUGAAGGAAGAGAAGUGAAUAUAAAUCAACACAUCCAUAAGGUUGACUACAUGGGAAAGUUGUACUUGAAAUACAUCCAUAAGGAAGUUGACUAAAAGGUGAACAAUCUACUAAAAAAUAUGCAUAUAUAUUUUUACGAUAAAGGGUGUUUUAUUGACUCAUAAUAUAGCAUCGAGGGAUACAAUUACAAUGAGCCACACCCGGCCUCUGCAUAACUUGGAUGCACACAGCCAACACACACCAAAGGAUCACGUUGGCAAAAAGCUAAGUCAUACAAGACCGAAUUUAUGCCUAAGUGAAAAGUAAAAGAAAGAAAAAAGAAGUCAUGAAGCGAUACAAACAGCGAUUGACGAUGUACAACGAUAACCAUCGGCACCAACUAUGUCAUGAGAACACAAGGACCACGAAAACGGUUCUUCAAAAGCGACGCCUCCAAGUCAGAUAGUAGGUUUUCACCCUGAAGAUCAAGUCCGACAAAAUUCCGAGCAAUGCCUUCGUCAAGGUAACGACGCCAAAAAUGCCGUCAUUGCCAGGCAUAACCGAUAAGAGGCUAGACCUAGGGUUUUCACCCUGGAGCUCAAGACCAGGUACUCGAGAUGCACCACCCAAUCGAAUCCGUCCUGUGUUAUCUCAUCCACUUGCCACUGAGCCCAGUUGUUGCAAACACGCACUGACCUGACGGCAGGUGAGCAUGCCCACAUGAGCAAGCAACUAAACCGCUACAAGAGCUGCUCACCACGACACGAUAGACAUUGACGGAAGAGGAAGGUGACUGGCACCGCUUAAAUCCCAAUGGGAUGCUCGAGAGGCCAAGUACUAUCUUCCGAGGAGCAACUGAUGGCUAAUCUGAAUUAGACAACACCACCAUGGGUCGCCACAAGCUCCAUCGUCCUUGCCCAUGAAGGCCCAGAUCCACGGCACGACGCCUCCUUGCCGGCGGCACGGGUGACGGCUGCGGCAACCGCUACUUGUUCAUCGACACAUCCCAUCCAGCCCCUAUGCGGGAGAGGGGGACCACCAGCCGCGUCGGUCCAUGACGAGCUGGCUCUCCAUGACGGGAUGCAGGGAGGCGGUGGCUCCCUUUCCUCUGCCGCACGCAACGAGGCAGCGAUUACUGCAGAUCCAUGUCGCCAUUGCAAGCAGCACCUCCAUNNNNNNNNNNNNNNNNNNNNNNNNNNNNNNNNNNNNNNNNNNNNNNNNNNNNNNNNNNNNNNNNNNNNNNNNNNNNNNNNNNNNNNNNNNNNNNNNNNNNNNNNNNNNNNNNNNNNNNNNNNNNNNNNNNNNNNNNNNNNNNNNCUUUAUGCACAAAUCGAUUUCUCAUCGUAACAACAUGAAGGAGAAACUCAACCAAGCAAAACAGAAAAGAGAAACAAGAUAUAAAAACAUGACUAAACCAUACGUCACUUCAAUGCAAAUUAGGGAUGAUCGUGAGCAUCCCACAUUCACCCAAAUGACUACAUAAACACAUAGUGGAUGUAGCAUUUGUCUUACCAAGAUAAACGAAAACAGGGACCUGAUCUUUGUUGCUCAAAUCGGUAGCUUUUUUAUACUGGAAAAAGCCUUUCCAUUAACCAACAACCAUAGCUAAAUCAUUGUUCAUGCACCUUGCCAAGUAGAACAAACAUUUGCUUGCCAAACAAAGCUCAGGGUUUGCAUAUUAAGCUGCAGUGCAUUGGGCAACAGACAAGCAAUUGGGUAUUAUUAAUUGAUGAGACUGUAGUAUGUACCUCAGGUGUAGCAUGGGCAGAAGAAGUUCCGACAGACGGUGGAGCACGGACAGAUAGAUUUCCAGCAAAGUCGAUGGUGUAUAAGCACGCGAUGUUGGUAACUUGCGGCACGAUUAUAUUGGGCAAGCAACUUGCGAUGUGAUCUAUUUGCUUCCGGUCGAGGGGUUCCAUAGAACCAAGAAACACGCCGGACUUCUCUUUUGGUGUCAUAUAAAUCCCCAUACAUACUGAAGAAGGAAGUUUCCUAAAGAGAAGUAAGUUUAUUUCAGAAAGAAUGUGUAGCAAAAGCUGUUCGCUCUUUAUAAGCAAGUGGCCAAGUGCAAUGUGUGCCUCGGUUCUUCAAUACUUGUAUGCCACACAUGAAUAUAUUGGAUGUUUGACUGAAAGUUAACUUGCAGGUCAAUACAUAUCAUUAAAAUCUCUAAGAUUUAUGUUAUAACCUACUGGUAGUUUUUGAGAUUAAAGGUGAGAUUAAGAGCAUAUGCCCUUCUGUUUCAAUACCACUAAAUUGUGUCUCAGUCUUUUGUGGGUAGCAUCGAGAGUAAAAGACCAACGAGUGCAAGAAUUGGAACAUAGAAGAAUCUUACCUGGGCAUGAUGCCAUCAGGUUCUAUGCCAAGAUCGAGGUAGUAGAGCUCCCUCAAUCUCUCUUGCCAAGCCCUCCCUUUGACCAUCAAUAGAACAGUCGCUCUCGCUUGCCCUGCUUUUGAAAUCUCCUUCUGCACCGCUGCAGAUCAGUUGGCAGCAUAGGCCGAGCUCUCCCACCUAUCAUCACGUUGAGCGCAUCUAUGCUUACUUCCCUUGUAUCAUCACAACGGAUGCUAUAAAUUUGCUUGUGUCCUUGUCAUAAAUCUGAGUUCUGCACAAUAUGAAAAAGAAAGAAAGUCUGUUAAUACAACAUAAUGAUAGUUCCAAGGAAACAUGUACUACGCCGAAACUGGCCAUGAUAGUACGGAUGUCAUGUGGAUGGACGUAAUUGUGCAGGAAUAACCGGGAAGAGUACUCGGAUAUCGACAACCACCGGAGAGAUCAGUGCACCCUACUUUAAACGUAGUUUCCUGGUGUCGCCACGGUGGUUGAUGUUGCAGCAGUACCUGAGUCUUACCUCGAACUCCAAAGAACAUGGCGCCCCCGACAACGCCCGAGGAUGCAGGGAGAGCACGGAGACCGCUCGGCCAAACGGGUUCAACGCCACGUUCAGCAGGAACAGGUACUGCCGGCAUUGGGCACGGGCCGAGAAGGCGUUGAAGCCGUCACAGAGCUGGACCUCGAUGCACGCCCAGGCCCAAGCUCGGUCAUGCACGGCCACCCGUGCGUGUCGGCAAAGUGGUCCAGGAGUGCCGCCGUGGAGCUAGCGAAACCGCAGUCUGCCUGCGGGCAAUAGCACGGCGUCGUGAGGGCACGCCUUGAGGUGGUCGGGGUGGUCAUAGUAGGCCGGCGUGGCAGUGCAGCCGUGGGCGGCGUUGGCGCACGGCACCCGGAUGGACUCUAUUAGCCUCUCCAGUGCGAUGUUCCAGCGAUAGCCGCCGGUCAACCGGAUGUGACACACACGGCACCUCCUUGCCGCCACCAUCUUGUCGUGGCACCGCGAGGAUAUGGUAUGACCGACGCCACACUGCACCCGAGCAGAAAUGAUGUUCCAGUGUUAUUGGUACACAAACUUGUAAUGGAUCGGCCUAGGAUGGACGACGAGCGUACGCACCUAGAAGACUGGUGGCUUGAGAGGGAGGUAGCAGAUGCCGCAGUUGAGGGUAUCGUCGCCAUCCACUAUCACGUUUGCGAGCGCCAUGCGCUUCGCCGCCGGCUCCAUCGUACCUGGAACCCGAGAUUGCCGUCGUUGUUCUUGUUCUUCUUCUCUUGUUUUUUUCCUAUGGAAAUACUAACAUCGUCUCCUCCCUCGUCGGAGGUCUCGGGCCAACACCUUGAAUCCGUGGGCGCUCCUCGUGAUGCCACAAACCCUCGCCGCCGACUGCCUCACACGGAUGGCCGUCCCAUCCCACAUCCUGACCUUGUACCGCACUGCCGACACCAGCACCACCGAUCACCGUUCCCAGCCCCAUCGCUGCCAUCACAAAUUAAAUAGGUACAUAAAUGCUUUCAUCAUGAGGUUUAUUUGUCAUGAUAGGUAUAUGCACGUGUGUUGCACCGGAAGUUGAUUUUUUUAAGCAACAGGGGAACAUAUGGGCACACAUCAUGAUGCAAAUCAAAUAACAAAAAGGAGAUUAUGUUUUGGUUAUGAAGCAUAGAGCUUCUGACAACUUUGUCCUGAGAUAUACUAAAGCCAAAGAAUAUCAUAGAGGGAAAUCAAAUUAUCUGAACGACAUGAUGUUAUUUCACAAAAUAAGUUAAAUUUACAUUUAAAUUUUAAAAUUACCAAUUGGUCAUCUUUACAUGUAAAUAAAAAGGUGGGAGUCAAUAUUACAAUACGCUUACCAAAAAUGUUCCUCUACAAAAAAUUAUCAUGAAGAAUCACCUGCCAAGAAUAAAAACUGAGAGCAAGUCUGCAAAAUAACAAAUUGUUAACAAUACAUUCAGUAAUAUAAAUCUCACUGUUCUUGCACACCCUUCAGAGCAUACCAAUUUUUCCCUUCAGACUAUACUCUCGUCUAUGAACAGAAAAAGAAAACCAUAGAAACUAAGUUCAAGUCUGCAGAAUAACACAAAGAAUCACUAACAGUUCAGUACCAUGUGAAUGGAGACAUACCAUACCAUCCUUUUUACCUUCUGACUGCACUUCUAUUUGUGAGAAUUCCAGUAAGUAGAUGGCAAUUUAGCAAAAUACAACCAUUGGAAUAUGGGAAGCCGUAUAAACUGAAUUAUGUAGAUAAUAUCACAUGUGCAUUAUUGGCCUCUCAGAUGGAACAAAACUGAAUACUACCCAAAACAACACACAAAUCUGACUAACAAUUUUAAAAUUUCAUAUCUCUUCUAUACUACCUAAUAAAUUCAAGUUGUAUACACCUUUUUCAAUUGCACAAAAAUUUAAUUCAGUUUCUAAAGUCUGCAAUACCCCCAUAAUUCUAAACAGUCUGCAAUACCCCCAUUACUAACUCUAGUUCAGCAAAUCCCUGAGGAAGAGUCAUUGGUGAGGAUGGGCUAACUCCGCUAUAUACCAUAACUAUUCUCAACUACCAUAUCCAGAAAAAGUAUUGUCAAUUUGAGAGGAUACCGAAAUUGAGUUACAAAUAGAAAUAACAAAAGUAAAAUGUCAAGCAUAAGUAGUCUAUUCAGAGGAAUCAUUCCCAAAAGAAAUUCUGAGCUGAACACCAGAGCACAGCGAGUUGUGACAACUCACAUCCCAAAUGAUAGCAGAUUUAUUUAAACUGCCAGUAGCAUCACAGUACAGACGUUAAAACCAGUAGCAUUAUAGGAACACUGUACAGUCAGUUCCUGCAUGCAUACCUGCCGGUAACCUUGAUACCAUCACCGCUCACACUCCUCUGUGUGUCCUUCAUCGUCAUCUUUCCUUCGUCAAACAAAUCCAGCAAACGCACACAAUCGAAUCACCUAAUGCUUCGGCAACUCCAACAGCACGUUGUUGCUCCAAGCAAUCAGUGAACACCACGGAGAGGGGCGUACUUGGAUCCUAAACUCCAAGCAAACAAUUAAUUAAGAUCCCUUGCACACACACACACACACACCGAGAGAGAGAGAGAGAGAGAGAGAGAGAUCAGGGUAUCCCAGGGUGAGGGAUGAGAGGAGCUGACCUACGGAGCGCGGCGCCAGCAGGUUUGGGGAUCGCGAGCAGGCGGCCUUCAUCCGCGGCAGCGUGCGUGGGCGAGCAGGGGAUCGGCGUUGUUUUCCGGAGGGGAUCGGCGGCGGCGGCGAUCCAGAACUGAUGACGAGGGCGAGAUCCGGCGGGGUCUUCUCGAGUCGUCCGCCAGCGGCGAGAUCCGACGGGGCCGAUGGGAUCGAGAGACGCGGCGGCGGCGACUCCCCUCGAACGGCGGCGGCCACGAACGAUGGGAUCGAGAGGAGUGGGCAAGGAAGGUUGGGCUGGAUGGAGUAUUUUUUUUUCUGGGUGCG